GCCUUCGUGGUGUAACAGUUAGCCCAUUCCGCGCGUAUUCGAGAGGUCCAGGUUCGAGUCCUGGCGAGGGCA
rnacentral:tRNA from 1 species